rnacentral:tRNA from 1 species
GCAGGUGUGGCGGAAUUGGCAGACGCGCUGGCUUCAGGUGCCAGUGAAAGCAAUUUCAUGUGGGUUCAAGUCCCGUCACCUGCACCA